UGUCUGGCCUGCGUCCCCCCGCCGACACCACCGGCGCCCAGCUGCAUUGCCUGGCUAUCUCUCACAUAGGUAGCUGGACAGCACUGCAGCUCUCUCCCACCCGUGUGCUAGGAGAGGUGACGUCUCUCCCAGCCCUCCCACAAUGCCCUGCGCUGUGAAGAGCACAGUGUAGGGCGGAAAGGAGAAGAGGAGAGGCCUGCCAGUUGGUCACAUGUAUUCUGAGGCCCUUGAUGAAGUAGCUGAUGAAACGCGUAGGAAGGUCUCCCAUACAUUGUCUUAUUGUUACCACCACCUGACUGGCACGUCACUUCCGUUUCCUGGAUCUUUGAACAUUCAAGACAUCAAUGAUAUUGGGAACACUGCUCGGAGAGACAGUGUGAUCUGCAUUAACAUACAGUAGAUAAGCAUAAGUACGUUUAUCUGAAAGCACAUCUGCUAUCCGUUGGCCUGUCGUUGAUAUAUGUAUCUUGGAAUAUAUCAUUUGCAUCCCCCUUCCUUCCGUCUCCGGGCAGCAAUAUCACAGCAUGAUCUAGCAGCCAUCUUCUCACAGAGGAGUCACGCAGUCCAAACUACACAGCCUGUAGGCUCCCCUGCCAAGAGUCACGUAACAUACUGUAGCAGAAGUUUGGACUGGAAACGAUCACUCAGUGACAUUAUGAGCAAAGAAAGCAAUCGGGAGAGGACAUAUUGAUUCAGAAUAAUAUUACUUAUGAUUUAUGAGCUUUUUCAGUAUGGAAGAAAGGUUGAUAGUGGAAAAAUGUUGGUUUCCCAUUAUAACGAUUUACUGUAUCCUAUGUGUACAUCUAUAAUAAACUGCAGGCUCCUCUCAUGUGCUGUAUCAAAGCCUAGACGCUCUCCGGGGGAUGGGACAUGAGAUUGAAAGGCGCUACAUCGACACCGCAAU